UACGUAGGUGGCAAGCGUUACUCGGAAUCACUAGGCGUAAAGCGCAGGUAGGCGGUUCGGUAAGUCUCUUGUGAAAGCUCCCGGCUCAACUGGGAGAGGUCAAGGGAAACUACCGGGCUAGAGUGUGGCAGAGGGAGCUGGAAUUCCCGGUGUAGCGGUGAAAUGCGUAGAGAUCGGGAGGAAUACCUAUGGCGAAAGCAGGCUUCUGGGCCGUCACUGACGCUGAGCUGCGAAAGCUAGGGGAGCAAACAGG
rnacentral:rRNA from 1 species